UGGGGAAUUUUGGACAAUGGGCGCAAGCCUGAUCCAGCCAUGCCGCGUGCGGGAAGAAGGCCUUCGGGUUGUAAACCGCUUUUGUCAGGGAAGAAAUCUUCUGAGUUAAUACCUCGGGAGGAUGACGGUACCUGAAGAAUAAGCACCGGCUAACUACGUGCCAGCAGCCGCGGUAAUACGUAGGGUGCAAGCGUUAAUCGGAAUACUGGGCGUAAAGCGUGCGCAGGCGGUUUUGUAAGACAGAGGUGAAAUCCCCGGGCUCAACCUGGGAACUGCCUUUGUGACUGCAAGGCUUGAGUGCGGCAGAGGGGGGAUGGAAUUCCGCGUGUAGCAGUGAAAUGCGUAGAUAUGCGGAGGAACACCGAUGGCGAAGGCAAUCCCCUGGGCCUGCACUGACGCUCAUGCACGAAAGCGUGGGGAGCAAACAGAAUUAGAUACCCUGGUAGUCCACGCCCUAAACGAUGUCAACUGGUUGUUGGGAAGGUUCCUUUCUCAGUAACGUAGCUAACGCGUGAAGUUGACCGCCCGGGGGAGUACGGCCGCAA
rnacentral:rRNA from 1 species